UCUCCCCACGAUUUAUUCCCCAAACCAACACCGCCGCCGCCGCCGAUCUCCUCUACCCCAACCCCACCGCCGGCAUCCCCCAACCCCCUCCCUCCCCCACCACCUCCGCCCCCAAACCCUAGCAUCCUCCAUCCAACCUCCUUCCUCGCGCCCGCCCGCCCGCCCGAGACCUAGCCUGCGGCCAUGGCGGCCGAGCCCAGGAUCCGCCCCCAAGAACAGGACCCGGCGCACGGGAGGGAGGGAGGGCUCCUCUUGUCGGCCGUCGAUGCCUCCAGCAGCGGCUGCCUAGGGUUCUUCUUCAACCAGCGCCAGCGGCAUCGUCGUCAGUCAGGCGGUGAAGACCACCACGGCCCCGCUGCUGCUGCUAGUGCGGACCGACGCCACGCCAUGGAGGACCUUGCUGUCGACUUCCGUGGAUUGGACCUUGCUUCGACGCCAUGUAUUGUAUUCGAUUCGCAUGGCUCCGAGCUCCAUCGUGAUGGAUAGCUGUUUGAUGAUUUGAUGGCUAAUGAAGAAUAAAGAUGAUGUGUUAUGGGGCAGAAGCACGCUGGGGACGGUGAAAGCGACGGGAGCAGAAUGGGGAUGGUGAAAGCUGUAGCAAUGGGAGUGAGAUAGAAUAUGAAGCCUUCUUUAGAACAAAAUACAGAGCUGGUAUAACCAGGAACCAUGCUGCGUGCACGUUCUCAACACAACAGUGGGGACCUUGCUGUCCACUUACAUUGGGCUGGACCUUGCUUUGAUGCCUUGUAUUGGAUUCGAUUUGCACGGCGUGAUGGACAGCAGGAGCAGCAUGGACUUGGUACAGCAAAGGACAAGGGCUGCAUUUCAGCAUCAAUUACAAAUUGCCAUGAUGAGCUUCUACAGCUCCUCUCCUUCCUUUUCUCCGCUCCUGUGCUCAUCGAUCAUGCUCUAUCUUGUGGCCAUCCACCCAUGGAGGAUCUAGGAUUACUUAGGGUUUUGCUACUGUUUGGGCUUCAUUAGCUGUUAAGUUAGAUAAGUUAUAUGGAUUCGUGAUAGAGAACUAUGCCUGGAAUUAGACAAAAGUAAAUUAAACACAGAAGAAGCUUAAGAAGCACCCUUUAAUCCUGGAUUUCAAAGCUGCAAUGCUCUCCAUGCAUGGUGCGGUGAUUUGAUUUGCAGAGGCCAACUAUUGGCUACUUUCUAUGAUCGUAAUGUUGCUUCCUCUAUGAGCUAUGAAAAUAAGCAAUGUCCUGGUGAGAUCCACAUAUUAUUAUAGUGGGUGUAUUGUAACGCGUGCAAUAGACUUAUGCUACCUACUGGGGGUAAUGCUUGUUUUCAGCUUCGGCUCUGCAUAUGUUCUAUGGGUUUUAAAUACAAAAAGGUAUAUUUUGUCC